UGACACUACAUACACUGCUACAUGUAGCAACAUGCUAACGUCAGGGAAACAUGUGAUUUUGGUUGCAGAUGACGUGACAGACAUAUA